CGUGGAGUGAUUUGUCUGGUUUAUUCCGAUAACGAGCGAGACUCUAACCUACUAAAUAGUUGAUAUUUUUCUAUAAGAGUAUACAACUUCUUAGAGGGAUUUGCGGUGUUUAGCCGAAAGAAAUUGGGCGAUAACAGGUCUGUGAUGCCCUUAGAUGUCCGGGGCUGCACGCGUGCUACACCGGAAGAAUCAGCGUGUUUUUCCAUUACCGAAAGGUAUUGGUAAACCGUUGAAACUCUUCCGUGACCGGGAUAGGGAAUUGAAAUUAUUUCCCUUAAACGAGGAAUUCCUAGUAAGUGUGAGUCAUCAGCUCACGUUGAAUACGUCCCUGCCCUUUGUAC
rnacentral:rRNA from 1 species